rnacentral:lncRNA from 1 species
ACAUAAAAAGGGGCAACUACGGAACGCCGUUUGAUCCACUUUUUAAUAGACAACUCUUUUUCGAAAGUUGUCCGUUUAUUUAGCAAAUAAAUAAAUAACUUGUACUGCCAUGUAGAGAUUUCGAUAGACGACGCCUUCAAGGGAGGAGGAGUCUACAACAUAUUGAAUUUAUCGAUCGAUUGUUAGGUCGAUUUCGAUCAGCAUUGUAUAGUUAAUGAAUGACCACUUGAGUACUUGACGAGUUCUCGACACGCAAGUUGAAAGUAUACGCGUGUUUGCACCUCGAUGAGCGUUGCACAAUAACAAAGCUCCGUUGCUAGGUGAAGUCCUUGAGUGCCUCAAGAAGGAAUCGCCGAACAUCGUCAUACAGUAUUUUUUCCUUCAACAAUUAAUCUUGCAUCUCCAACCGUGGAAUGAGUUACAUGUGACUCGAGACAAACAAACAGUGCAAUUGCAACAAUAUAAUUAGUCAGCGAUAUAAAUUUGCCAAAUCUUCAUGUCAACCACAAGGAUUCUGCUUUUGCACACAACUUCAUUAUUAAUGUGUUUCUUCAGGUAUGGUCACUAUCAGCAGCUUUACACACAGUGUGCAUCGUGAAUACACCAAUCCCAGAGAAAACAUUCCAAUGGAAAAUAUUGAGAAUUUCUGCCGUUCUAUCCUGAACUACACAAUGCUGGUAUAAAUAACCCAGCCUAGCAGCCAUUUUUUUAACACCUCCCUCGCGCUCCUGGCGGAUUGAAUCGGAGCGAACCAAUCACUUUUUCAUUUUUGGCCAAAUUUCAAAUUUUGCUAAAAAUACAUAAUUUAGAUUCAGAAUGGAAUAAAAAUCACGGAAAUCAG